rnacentral:piRNA from 1 species
UAGCACAGAACUUGAAGUGCCCA